UUAUUUUUCUCGUUCCAAUUCGGGUGCAUAUUGUUACAUGUUUUAAUCGAAAAUUGUGAUCUCUUUAGUGUAGAACGAAAUGUUGCAGUUUAUGCUCCUGUUCAGCCGGCAAGGCAAACUUAGGCUACAGAAAUGGUACGUCGCACACUCGGAUAAGGUGAAGAAGAAGAUCACCCGCGAACUGAUCACAACAAUCCUCUCCCGUAAGCCGAAGAUGUGUUCCUUCUUGGAGUGGAAAGACUGCACGAUCGUUUACAAAAGAUACGCCAGCUUGUACUUUUGUUGCGCUAUCGAACAGAACGAUAAUGAGCUGUUAACGCUGGAAGUAAUACACAGAUACGUAGAGCUGUUGGAUAAAUACUUCGGUAGUGUCUGUGAGCUGGACAUUAUUUUCAACUUCGAGAAGGCCUAUUUCAUACUGGACGAGCUGCUGGUGGGAGGAGAAAUACAGGAAACGUCUAAAAAGAACGUCCUUAAGGCAAUCGCAGCUCAAGAUGUGCUACAAGAGCAAAAGGAACUGGAGUGCUAAUAUGUGCGAAUGAAUGAAACACUAGCCAUAAUCUUAAAACAUGAAAGCUACAACAAGCUACUUCUUUGUUCCGUUUCCUGCUCCGCUAUUGUGCAUUAGGCGCCGUUGCUGGUUCUACACAAGCAGGCAAAUAGUUUCGUACAGAAAAUGGCUUUAUGGUUUGGCAAGCGAAUACUCCGUGCUUCCCUUAGUUUGGCACUCUCAACAGCAGGCAAUAUAGCAUGUCAAUCGACAGAACCGGGCAUAUAACAAAGGCGCGCGCAUCUUCACGCUCAUCUAUGCUGUAAAUAUGCAAUGGACGAAACGCCACAAGGAUUCUUCGAGGAUCAUGGGCUCGGAUAGACGGCGGCCGGUGUCGGUGGAACGUGACGUAUCCUUUCGCUAGCCAAAGCUCGCAACGAAUUAUGAUUUACGUAGUAGUAUUGUUUGGCCACCAACUCUGUACCAUGCUCUGCUGGAGUUGCAGUAUUGGCGUAUUUCAGUUUUAGCGAAUUUAUCAAUUUUUAAUGUUCGGCAAUUCAAUUUACUUUGAUACGUCGCCAUGUCGACAGUGUAUGGCGUCAAUUCUUCUCCACAUAUCAUAUAAUUUAAAGUCAACUUUCUACGCACAGUUGUUCCACAACAUGUGCUUCAAAAUCCACACGAUGCGAUAUUUUCAUCAGACACCGUCAAACAUAGCAGCGCCGCUACCCAAAUGAGCUUUCCUCGUGAUGCGAUUCAGUGGAAGAAGAUGAAGGAGGUGGACGACGGGGGAGCAGUUUUCCUACUCAAAAGCUGCCCACUUUCAUCCUGUACUUAAGAGAUGUGUAGGAUAAUUCGUCAACAUUUCCAUCGGCAAAGAGAGCGGAAGUGUCGAAUGCGGAAGUUUCUCCCAUUACCAAUUGUAGCUGGUCCGUCAUCAGUCUCUGUGCACCUGUGCUCAGUUUCAGCGUUGGAACAGUGCAGAAGUGCAUAUCACCACAAGACAGAUAAGCGUAAAAUAACGCAUUGAUGAUGAGUGAUCGAAGAUAAACGACCUACAUUACACGUAGCAUUUAUAUAGGGUAGAGACAUACUCGUCGUUGAUAAUGAUGUUAGUUUAACGUAAUAGUGAGAACAUAUUCCUGAUAUACUUAUCAAUACAAGAACAUGCGAUUUCUAAUAAAA